rnacentral:lncRNA from 10 species
ACAGCAGCCACAGUACAUGGUUCCUGGCACUCAGAAGGCAUCCCUGAUCACAGGUGCUUACGCAGGGAGGGGCCUGUGUCGCGAGUGGGUGUGGGGGCCUGGCUGGGAGCUGGGCCGGCCACCUCGGCCGUCAUCAAUGAUGUGCGCUGGCGGACCUGAGUCUGCAUUUCCAGAAACAUCGAGUUGCCUGUGGUAAAGCAGGGAGCCCUCUGACGAAGAAACAGCAGCUCCUGAGUGCUCUGGCAGCCAUGGAGUCUCCUAUACAGUCCAAGAUGCUGCCUCCAUGGCCUCGGCUGGUCCCGGGGGUGAGGAAUGCCACAGGCUGUUACUCCAUUCCCCAAGCCUAACGUUCAGGCUCUGCAGCUGCAAGUCACUGGGGCCACUUCCCCAAAUCCCAGACACCCAGGAGUCCUAUGUGGCAGGCACUCCUUGUUUUAAAUUCUGGGAACAUCGGCUGUCGCCAUACAUUUAAUAUAGUGAUUAAAUAACAGGAGGACCUGAAGUAUCUUGGAAGGAAAACCUUCAUUGUUUGCAGGAACAGGCGAUCCUCUGAAAAUGCCUAUUCACAAAUGCACUUUAUUAAAAAACACAAACACACAUGCAGACUGAAAACGAGAGAACCACGGCCCCUGCUACAGCGAACACUGCCACGGAAUGGUGUCUGCGGAAGACCAAUAUCAUAAGGUGGAAAAAUAAAGGAAAUAAAAGAGCAAAUAAGAGGAAACGACAGCUCUCCUAAAAGCUGAUUUCAUGCCAUGUAUCUCUGGUAUAAUGGCGCGUGUUAGAGCUAAAAUUGAGGGCUUCAAAAACUGUUACCUGAGUUCUGAGUUUAAUCAUAUCGGCUUCCAUCUGGGAAUUGGAUUCAUUUAGCUCCUUGAUUUCUUCAUCUAACUGUUUGAUUUCUUCAUCAUUUUCUAUACCUGUAAUAAUGAAUAUUAGUAUGUUAAAACUGUUAUAUACAAAAAUAUUAGAGUUAGAAUUUUGGGAGCUUUCUUUGUUCCUUUUAUAUUCGUAAUUGAAUUUGCUUGGAAAAUAGACUCUUGAAUUAGAAAGGAAAAAAUCAUCACAAUCUCUGUGUCUUUCUAUUCCCUACCACCGCCCCUUCCCCACCUAAGUUCCCCUACAAAAAGGAACAAACAAUUGAGACGCACAGAAGACUCCCAGGCACUUUGAGGGUCGAGCUCCCAGGGACAGUUAACCUGGGUCUUAGAUGUAUCGAGGCAGAAACCACCUGGUCCUGAGUGCCGAUUUGCUGAGCCUGGCCUGUUUUCUCCUGCUUUUGUUCUCUCUCUCGACUCGCUGUCUGCAUCAGUCAUUCUGCAAACACCCCAGGCUUGGAGCCAGGCUCUGCAGGUACGUUCACCAACAAGGCCAGGUCCUCCCGCCCUCACUCAGGUCAGGUUCUGGGUCGGAAAAUGGGCAACAGACGUGUAACGACAAAUGCCGUCCAGCAAACGCUGAGGAUGACCUCACCUUACCCACCGACAGGAAGCUGUGGGAAGUGGGAGAGGGACAUGGGGGCUGGCCGGAGGGAGAUGGCCACAAAAGGGCUCUCUGAAUAUUCGACAUUUAGCAAAUAAAAAAUCUCAUUCUGAAUGAUUAAAAAGUAUGCACUAACUAACAGAAUUCCCAAUUUGUAAACUCUGCCAGAAUGAUGACCUCGGCCAGGUGUGUACCUGACCAUCUGAGUGUCCCUGGUGGGUGACUGCUGCCCUGCCGAGGUCCCUGGGGCACCUGGAUCAGUCCUGGCAUAGCUGGGCACAGGGCCCAGAUGCCCAUAUUUACAAAGGCCAUUCUGGACACUUGCUUCCCUGGCCGGCUGUGUCUGGUUACUGGCAACAUUACACUGCCAACGCCAAAGAGAAGGAGAUUCCUCUCUAUUUGUGACCACUUGACCUCACACAAUUGGGUGUACACAGAAGGAGAGCAGGAGUUUGGCAAACACAAUCACCCUAGAAAAUUCAGGAUUUGAGAUUGCUGUUCUCAUUGGCCACACAGCACCACAAUGGAUCUUUACUCAAAACUAAUGGAAAAUGUAUCCAGGCCUCCUAGGACUCCCAGUGGGUAGAUGCUGUUUUCAAGCUUUGCAGACAGAAGGGCAGAAGGGGUACAAUCAACCAGAGGCCGAGGCCUGAGAGCACCCCAAAAACCCUGCUGACAUCAGCAGAACAGAGGUGGAGGCUCCUCUCUACCAAGACGUUAGAAAGAUGAGAGUAAGAGAAAGUGAUGGAUCAGUGGGAUUGGGCCUUAGAUGCGGCUUUUAGUGAAACGAAAAAAAAGUUAUACCCUCAAGAUAAAAAUACCCAAUGCAAAAAAUCCCAAUUCAUAAAGCAACUAAAUUAUGAACGAACGUAUCAUUUCAGAAGCAUUCCCCACAAGCUUCUGUUAAACUGCAAGCAUCCAAAUGCCUUUAGAACACCUCCAUGUGAAGGAGGCCCUCAGAACACUGGACGUGGUGAAGCUUCGACCCUCUACAGCUGUCACAGGCAAAUUUCUCAAGCACAUUCCUAGGAAUCCCAUCUCGCAGAGGCCUUUCAAAAACCUUGGACUGGGAUGCUUAGUUUGAAGAAUUCAUGAUAAAUGUCAAACUAACUGGCCUAUCAGGCUUUGUUAUCUAAUUGAUCUGCCAGAUCAGGUCAACUGUUCUGACAGAAGUCAGUGUCAUUUUAAAUCCAAAUAAAAGUCUUGAUACGGGUCCCAUGACAACCUUUCAUCUCUAAUUUUGUUCUGGGAGUGAUGGAUGGGUGGAUAUUACUUCCAUAGCUCUGCUCUGUCCUGGGGGACCACCCUCAGGCCCAAGUGGUCACCAACAGCCCUUUGUGGGAGCCUGGGAACGUCUCAGUCCUGGGGCUGCCCACUGCGGCUCUGUGCAGCAUGCCAUUCCUUUGUAAGGGGGAGGAGGGAGACAGGGAAACGGUGCCAGGAAGAACCGGCAGGUCACAGAGCAUUCCC